UACAGAGGUCCCAAGCGUUGUUCGGAUUCACUGGGCGUAAAGGGUGCGUAGGCGGCCGUGCAAGUCUGGCGUGAAAGCCCCGGGCUCAGCCCGGGAAGUGCGCUCGAAACUGGGAGACUUGAGUGUGGCAGAGGGGGGUGGAAUUCCACGUGUAGCAGUGAAAUGCGUAGAGAUGCGGAGGAACACCGAUGGCGAAGGCAGCCCCCUGGGCUAACACUGACGCUCAGGCACGAAAGCGUGGGGAGCAAACAGG
rnacentral:rRNA from 1 species